rnacentral:rRNA from 1 species
UACGUAGGGGGCAAGCGUUGUCCGGAUUUAUUGGGCGUAAAGAGCGUGUAGGCGGCCAGGUAGGUCCGUUGUGAAAACUGGAGGCUUAACCUCCAGCUGUCGAUGGAAACCAUCUGGCUAGAGUCCGGAAGAGGAGAGUGGAAUUCCUGGUGUAGCGGUGAAAUGCGCAGAUAUCAGGAAGAACACCCGUGGCGAAGGCGGCGCUCUGGGACGGUACUGACGCUGAGACGCGAAGGCCAGGGUAGCGAACGGG